ensembl:lncRNA novel transcript
AACAUGGAGGAUAGAUUGCAAGUGGAGCCAAGAACAAAAUACAGCUGACUCUGAACAAAUCCUUUUCGUGACUUCUGGAUAAAGGACAACUCAAGCCCCUCGUUCCAGUGGCAGUGGAUUGAUGUGCAGCUUCCUAUGUGAAGGCAGAGCACACGUCUGUCUCUGGAGCUUCCUAGAACACAUGGAGAAGACAGAUACAGAGAAGGCAAUGUGAACACAGAACAGAAAGAGAUGUGGUUACGAGCCAAGGAAUGCUGACAGCCACACACAUUGGAAGAGGAACUCCAAGGCCAGUCUCAGGCCUUCACUCUGACUGUGUCUUCCUUAAAGCGUGGUGUGAAUCCACAGAUACCAGAAUCAGCUGGGCAGCUCUCUCACAAUGCAAUUUACUGGGCCCUAUUUCAAGCAAACAAAGUCAAAACCUUCUCUCUGGAAUUCAGAAAUCUGCAUUCAUGACGAUCUUCCCCAAUAAUUACUAUGAAAAAAACGAAACGUUGAGCAUUCCUGCUUCAGAGCAGAGGUCAGAUGGCUGCCUGUAUUCUGUGGCCUUCAAGGCACAUGUUUACAGAUGAACAUUUUCAAUCAAUUUGAUGAGAGGGAGCGCUCACUUUACAACCUAAUGAAGUGAAAUGUUAUAGCCUGAAAAAAAUUAUUCCAUUCUUCUCACUAAUAGACCUGUAUUGUAAAAGACACUGUACUCGAUUAUGAUAUCUUGAAGUUGUUCAACAAAAUUACUGUAGAAAUUUAUUUUUGUAUUGUUAUAUAAAUACACACAGAAUAUCCUUGAUUUUGCCUCUUUCUUGUAAAGGCUGAAAUGUUUACUAUCUGGGCUUUUACAGAAAAAUUUGUCAAGGCCUGCUUGAAAGCUUAAUAUCUUAAUACAGUAAAUCUGUGACAAUCAAGGCUUGAAAAAUAUAUCUUAUCCACAUUGUAAAAUGUUUAAAAUCUGUGGUCUUGUAGGUAUACAUAGUUCACUUCAUUCCCCUUAAAGAAAAAAACAACACCUGUCAUUUUUCUCCUCUGGCCUCUAGAGCAGAGGUUUGGGUGAGUCUGAGGACAUAAUACAAAGCAGGAGAGGGAACCUUAAUUCAGGCUAUGCUAGUCCAACAUAGAGAUGAAAGCCAGUCCCCAAAAUCUCACUUUGAAUAUUCUAAUAAUUCAAAGAAAGACUCAGCAUUUAUACAAAUAUUUUGAAGAAAGUUGCAAUUGAAGAAUAUGUAAAUGCAAAAGACUUUAUUUUCCAACAAGUAAAAACAAGCUUGAGAAACUUUGAAAGGUAGAUACCUGUGGGGAAAUCUACCCUAUGACCAGGGCUUUUCUUCAUAAUCAAAAGACUUGAUUUUGAUUCUGGAAAAAUGGUACCUACUGAAGAAGGAUUUUAAUGUCCAAAACGUGACUUGUUUUUUAAAAGAUGCAUGUUUAGUACUGUCUUCGUUGUUUUUAAACAAUAUGUAAUCUGUGAUAUUUGCAUUGAUUUCCAUCACCUUCCCCCACUUCCUGUGAGAACUUGAUCUCCAGGGCCUUGGUUUUGCUAAUCAAUGCAUUUUUCUUUUGUUUGUUUGUAUUUUUUAUUUCUGGUUGGCUAGAGUUAAUUGUUGAAAAUAAAAGUCAAUUCUGCUCUUCCAA